UCAGUUUGUCCCAAAACAUGCCUCUGGGUGCCUGUUGUUUAUCAAGUUUUGGGCCAUGUGGAGGAUAAAGGUGACCAAGGGACAAAAAUACAGGAGCCCCUGUGUCUACACUCAUUCUGGUCGAAGUUUUAAGCUUAGCGUUUGGAGCUGCUUUUCUUGCAGUGGGAAUGCUUGUCUCCGCCAACACGGGACUGCUACUGGCCCGGCCCGGUGGUACUCACCACUGAAGGUACCCAGAGCCCAGAAGGAUGGCCAGGUGAGCCGGCAGGUGCCCUGAGCUGGGGGCUUCUGUUACUUACCUAUGAGGGGUGGGAUGGGCCUGUCUGUCCAAUGCCGUUUUAUCUCAGGGGCUAGCGAUCAGCCUGUGGUCAUUUCAGCUUUGUUCGUGCCUCAUCCUUUCCCAGCCUCGCAGCCCUGCUGGGAGACCAGGCGGGGUGGGAGCGGUGUUCUUACAGGGCAGUGCCCACUGAGGACUGUCUGCUGCCCCUGCUCUGACUCAGCCCAAACCAGCCCUGUUUCUCCCCACACCUCAGCUCAGCCCAGCCAUCUGCUGCCUCUGGGAGGGCUUGACUCAUGUAAAUAGUGACCAGGGUGACUGUGCCAGCUGGACAGAAGCAAGCCUGCUUGGUGAAGUGGCCCGGUUUGCCGGACAGGUGUGGGGUGACAGGGGCAGUCUGCCAUGCCAUCUGCUGAGGAUGGGGUCCCCUGUUUGCCAGAUGGGGUCCCCUGUUUGCCAGAUGGGGUGCCUGAGCCACUGCAGAGUCUGCAAGUCCUAUUUUCCUGGGAUCUUUGCUUGGCUUCUGCGGCCUCUCCUAAGACUUGGGGAUGGAUGAGUCUGUGGGUGUAAAUCCUGAGUGCCGGCGAGUGUUUGGCAUGGCAUCAAAACUGCUGUUGCCAUGAUAAUGGCCUGUCUUUGGACAUCCAAAAACCAAAGAUGAUCUCUUUUGAGGCUCAUAUACUAAUUUAGAAAACUUGAAGAACCAGGAAAUGAAGGAUGGAGAAAAGUGCUCAUGGGGAAAGCUUGCAGGCUGGAGGCCCACAGCCCAGUUUGGGGUUGAAUGCCUUUUGGUAAUGCGUGCUCUGCAGUUUUCCAGGGUCACCAGCACUGCCUUCCACUUCCUCCUUCUCAUUCCUUUAUGUCACCUGUUUGACCCACGGAGGAAUCAGUUGUCAACCUCUGGAUGAAACUGGAAGGAUUUAGCCUGGAGAAAAAAGGCUCUUCUCCAGGAAGCAGAGCAGCUCAUGCAGACGCACAUCCAGCUGCUCAGCCUUCCAGUCAGCAGCCUGCCGGGAGAGCAGGAGGUGCAACAGGGCUGUCUUCACGUAGUAGCCGCCAAGUCCGCUGGGGCCGGUUAGGCGGCUCUGCUUGGAGAGCAGGAAGGAGGUGAUCUGCAAGCAGAGGCUUCUCAGAGCUUCCAGCAAGUCAUCCACAAAGCCUUCCACGAACUCGCGUGUACGAGUCGCAUCGGCUGUGGCUCCCCGUAUGCAACGCUCAUGAAAGUGGUCUAGCAUGGCCUUGUUGGGCAGGGUGAGGCCCCGGAGGGGUGCACCCUCCAGGCCAGGCAGCUCGUCCUCGGUGCCACCCAGGCACUCGGGUGAGGGCCCGUCCUGGUGGUCCUGCCGCC